UACAGAGGUCUCAAGCGUUGUUCGGAUUCAUUGGGCGUAAAGGGUGCGUAGGCGGCGCGGUAAGUCGGGUGUGAAAUCUCGGAGCUUAACUCCGAAACUGCAUUCGAUACUGCCGUGCUUGAGGACUGGAGAGGAGACUGGAAUUUACGGUGUAGCGGUGAAAUGCGUAGAUAUCGUAAGGGAGACCAGUGGCGAAGGCGGGUCUCUGGACAGUUCCUGACGCUGAGGCACGAAGGUCAGGGGAGCAAACGGG
rnacentral:rRNA from 1 species